rnacentral:rRNA from 1 species
UGGGGAAUAUUGCACAAUGGGCGCAAGCCUGAUGCAGCCAUGCCGCGUGUAUGAAGAAGGCCUUCGGGUUGUAAAGUACUUUCAGCGGGGAGGAAGGGAGUAAAGUUAAUACCUUUACUCAUUGACGUUACCCGCAGAAGAAGCACCGGCUAACUCCGUGCCAGCAGCCGCGGUAAUACGGAGGGUGCAAGCAUUAAUCGGAAUUACUGGGCGUAAAGCGCACGCAGGCGGUUUGUUAAGUCAGAUGUGAAAUCCCCGGGCUCAACCUGGGAACUGCAUCUGAUACUGGCAAGCUUGAGUCUCGUAGAGGGGGGUAGAAUUCCAGGUGUAGCGGUGAAAUGCGUAGAGAUCUGGAGGAAUACCGGUGGCGAAGGCGGCCCCCUGGACGAAGACUGACGCUCAGGUGCGAAAGCGUGGGGAGCAAACAG